ACGACUCAAAUUUGUUGUCUAGACGCAAUAGACACCUAAGGUGCAACUAUCCUUUCUUAGGCAAACCAAUUAUCUUGUAUAAUUUUUAGUGAUCAACCUCUCAUGAUUAAAGUGAUACAUAAAUUAUGUAAUUCAAAAGCAACAAAACUAAAUAAAGUGAAAUGUCAACUAUAGCUCAAAGUUCUUUCUACACUGCCAAGGAGCAUUUAAAAGACAAAAGUAAACGAGUAAAGACAUCCUGCAGAACUAUUCUUCUCGUCCCCAUGAAAUGUUACUUUGUUGUCCAAGUGUAAGAGAUAUGUUAUGGUACUUCCUCUUUUGUUUGCCGUUGGAAAGCUGAAAAGCAAACAAAGUCGGAACUCUUGUUGCUAGGUAUAUAAAGUCUAAUAGUAUUAAUAAAUAUUGUAAUUCAAUUCUUAAUUACCCUCCUCCUUGGAUACUAACAUCAGUCAUACUCUACCACUCUCUUAUACUGAUACAUCUUAAGAUAUACUAAUAUAUUACAUCGUUUUGUACCCAAAAAAACAAAAAAAAAUGUAAGCGAUAUGUACAUAUAAAGGACUAAAGAAUGAAUACAAUAGUUAACCAUAGUUGAGAAAAUUGAUAUGCGAAGUGGUUAUAACUUAUAACCUAUAUAUAUUCCCCUCAUUCACUUUUACUUAUUAUAUUUAGAUUUUCUUUAAUCACUUUUAUUUUUUGUUAUUAUUAUUUUAUAUAUAUUCAAUUUUACUUGUCACUUUUAACAUAUCAAGAAAAGACAAUUAUUUGUUUCCAUCUUUAUCCUUAAUAUUAAUUACAUAUUCUUCAAACCAUGUUCUAAGACCUAAUACUCCCUCUGUAUCUAAUUACUUGUCCAUUUUUUCUUUUUUAGUUGUCCCUAAUUACUUGUCCAUUUUGACAAAUCAAGAAAGGACAGUUUUUUUUACCUAUUAUACCCUCAAUUAAUUACUUUGAAAAAGGUAUAACUUUUUGAAAAUCUUAAGUUUUUAAUUCAUCCAUUUCAUAAUUAAUAGAGUUAAAAUAGUAAACUCAUUAUGUCAAUAAUUAUUUUCUUGAUAGGUGUGCCAAUUCAAAAGUGGACAACUAAUUAGGGACAGAAGGAGUACUAAAUAUCAGUUAGAAGAGAUACUCUAUCUAUCCCUAAUUACUUGUCCAUUUUUUAAUCGACACACCUAUUAAAAAAUAAUUAUUAACAUAGUUAGUUUACAAUUUUACCCCUAUUAGUUAUGAAUGGGAUGAAUUAAAAAUUUAAGAUUUUCAAGAAGUUCUACAAUUUUCAAAGUAAUUAAUUGAGAGUAUAAUAUGUUUAAAAAAAUCAUCAUUUCUUAAUUUGUCAAAAUAGACAAAUAAUUAGGAACAAUUGAAAAAGAAAAAUUGACAAGUAAUUGGAGACAAAAAAAGUAGUAUAGUAAACUAAUCAUAUCAUUCGUACUUUUUAGUAAAUAUGUCAAAUUCAAAUAUAACAAGUAAAAGUGAAUGGACAGAAGGUAAAACAGUUGGAGUAUAUUCUCUAAAAUUGAGGUAAAGGAAAUCAGGUGAAGUUAUGACCUUUCUAGAAUGGGUGAGAUGGAUGUGUUGUCAUGGAGGAUAGCAACAAGGAAAAAGGCUGCUCAGUGCUGAAUUUGGUGUUGUUUGCGGCCUUCAAAUUGCGUCACAAGAUGUGGGCGUGUAGGUGAGACCAAAUCCAUAAUAUAGUUUUAUAGUAAUAAUUUCGUCUAUUUUUAAUUAUUAUAAUUUUUAUUUUUAAAGUUAAAUUUAUAAAAAAAUUAAUUAAUAUUUUAUGAUAUAUUUUUUAAUCAUAAUAAUAUGCAAAAAAAUUUAUAAUUUAUAGUAUUUUUCGUAUAGUUUUGAAUAUUUAAUUUUUUUGUUUAAAAUAUCGAAUUAAUGUAAUAUAAUUUAACUUUAAAAAAACACAACAUGACAAAUAAAAGUGGACGGAAAGAAUAUUUCUUAGAGAUGGGUGAUUUUUUUAUAUAUAAUUUCAGGUCAUGAACUAAGAGAUAGUUACAUUCAACAUUUAUUUUUUAUCAUGAUUUUAGAAUUAGGUCCAUUUCAUAUAUACUCAAUGUUGGGCUUAUUUUGUUGUAUUCAUGCUUCAAAUGUUCAAUUUUAGAUCUACGGGAAUAUCAAUAUACAAGAGUAGUAAUAAAGUUAGGAAUUUAAAUUAAGAUUUAAAAUUAUUUAUGCUAAAAGAUUUCAACAAUUUAUAUAUAUCAUUAUGUCAGAAUUUCAUAGUCUCUUUAGAUAUUAAUGAUUUUCUUAUAUAGUCUCCAACUAUUCUCGCUACAUGAGUUAUUUAUUAAAAUUGAGUUGACCUUAGAUCAUUUCUUAUCAAUAUUAUAGGUAAUUUAUUUCAAAAAGGAUACUUAUGUUUCCAAUAAUUAAACAGUGUAUCGUCUCUUGAGAAAUUAAUUUUUUUUGUAUUGUGUGCUAUGCUGCCAUCUAAGGUGGAUGGAGUACCUUUAUAUAGCCUAUAGGUCACGAGUGGUGUACUAAUUCAAAUCUUUUUUGUUUUGUUUUUGGUCACUCUAAAUACGGCACCAAAGGACAAACAAAGUUGUUUUAGUCACACAUAUUAGUUACUUUUAUUAUCAAUUUCAGAAUUUCUAUCUAAUCACAUAAAUAUUUUUAUAAAAUCGAUUUUAAUAUCCAAAAUGUAGCUCAACACUUGAUACCUAUCAACUACUUCUAAUUAGUUAAUUCAAAACGAGUUCAAAGUACUUUUCCGUAAUAGGAGAAGUAGUUUUCCAAAGUACAAAAACAUAAUUAUUUUCUAGAAGCACUUUUAGAAUUUUCACCAAAUAAAUUGUUUCGGACAAAACUUUUAAAAAAAAAGAUAGUUUAUAUAUUUUAUAGUGACAUUCAUAAGAAAUGUGUAUUUUCUAUACUGGGGGGGGGGGGGGAAGAGUUAUGUCUAGCUAUCAUUUUAGCCCCUCUCUUUUCCCACAUUUUGUGUGCGCGUCUGCUAGGAAGUAGGAAUAUAUAAUUAGGUAUACUAAUUUAGUUGUUGCUCAUUUUUUGAAAAUAGAUACUGAGUGUCUUUUUUUUUAAAUUAUUAUUAUUAUUAUUUUAACAUGAAGAAAGAAAACGAGCGCACACAAAAUAGAAGAUUAUUAAUCUAAAAGAAAGGUCUCAAAAGGGUUGCUUCUACAAAGAGAACAAGUUCAGAGAUGUAAUUAUUGUGGGCCGGAAAAAUUAAUUUAAUAUUACUACUAAUCUAUGAUUAACAUCAUUCAGAUACAUAGUAGUCAAACUUUUGUACUUCAUUAAUUUCUUAAAAUAAAUAAACACAAGAGCUCUUCACUCACCCAAAGAUCAUCAUUUGUAGAUUUUAAAUUAAAAUUUCACCCCUUUAUAGACUCCUUUAAAGAUUAGCAUGACUUUUGCAUAAAAAUAACGCACAUGAAUCGAAAAAUGAUCGGAAAAUCUUUAUAUGUACGUAUUGAUAAUUACCUCAGAAGUGAUGGAAUCUUAGGGAUUGAUUUAAUUAGAGAGGAAAAAGAUGGCAUCAAUAUAAGAUAUUUCUUCAAUAAACUCUUGGCUUGUGUGGUUAUAUAUAUAUAUACUUCCUUCCAAC
rnacentral:lncRNA from 1 species